rnacentral:snRNA from 1 species
AUAUAUAUAUAUAUAUAUACACUAAAACUGGAACAGCACAGAGAAGGUUAGCAAAGCCCAUGUGCAAGGAUGUUUCACAUAUGUGUGAAUCAUUCCAUAUUUGU